rnacentral:siRNA from 1 species
UGGCUGAUUGCCCAUAUGUGCC